UGGGGAAUAUUGCACAAUGGGGGAAACCCUGAUGCAGCGACGCCGCGUGAGCGAAGAAGGUUUUCGAAUCGUAAAGCUCUGUCCUAUGGGAAGAUAAUGACGGUACCAUAGGAGGAAGCCCCGGCUAACUACGUGCCAGCAGCCGCGGUAAUACGUAGGGGGCAAGCGUUGUCCGGAAUCACUGGGCGUAAAGGGUUCGCAGGCGGAAAUGCAAGUCAGUUGUGAAAGGCAGAGGCUCAACCUCUGUAAGCAAUUGAAACUGUAUUUCUUGAGAUGUGGAGAGGCAAGUGGAAUUCCUAGUGUAGCGGUGAAAUGCGUAGAUAUUAGGAAGAAUACCGGUGGCGAAGGCGACUUGCUGGACACAAACUGACGCUGAGGAACGAAAGCGUGAGUAGCAAACAGG
rnacentral:rRNA from 1 species